UAUGAUCUGUACCAUGAGAAAGAAUGUAGCCCAAGGGUUGUUUAUGGUAGUUAAUGAUCUAGUGUGUUUAUUGCUAGAAUCCUGGUUAUCAUAAAUUUGCAAUUUCAUUGAGGAAAGUGAUAUAAGUAUUUCUUAAUAUAUUAAUAUGUGAAAUAAUUUUAGAGACUUUAUUAAAUACACACAGUCCUCUUUAUGGUAGAGGAACAGUUCAGCUUGAGCUGGUGACCGGCUGAACUAGAGGGGUUACUCUGGGAAAGUGGCGAGUCGGCAGGGCAUGUCUGCACAGAUUUUGUGCCAGGUUUCCUGCCUGCACAGCGCUUUCUUCUCUGUCCAAGUUCUGUGCUGACCACAGCUGUCCACAGGCAUGUUUACACUCCCUGUUCUUGCAGGUUGACUUGAGAGAACCACGUAGCUAAAUUGGUGAGAGACUCAGCCUGACCGCUUGUCUUUAGAAGGCCUGAUUGGAAGAGUGCACUCUAUUGACUUUCCUCUAACAAUGAAAUUGUGAAAGGUACAUGGGGCGGCUGUGAGACGUGCAGCUAUCGGGUCUCACCGGCACAUCCCUUUUCUCGUAAAGCAAUGAAGCACUUUCUAAGGUGUUGGUACUAGUGCUGGAGGCUGCUGGUGCAUUAGAUGCUGCCCGUCACAUCGGUGGGCUGAGAAACCUUCCUUAAAGACCUGUGAUGUUUUGUAAACCCUGACUGUUCUGGUGGUUGCAAAGUUAGUGUCUGUUUAGUGUUCCCCAUCUCACCAGAAGUGUUUCCUUUUUCUCAUUCAUAGAGGUCCUGUAAUAAAGAGGGAUCCGAACAAGCUCAGAAAGAAAAUGAAUUUCAAGGGGCCGAGGCCAUGGUUCUGGAGAGCGUUAUGUUUGCCAUUCUCGCAGAGAGGUCACUUGGGCCAAAACUCUAUGGCAUCUUUCCCCAAGGCCGACUGGAGCAGUUCAUCCCGGU
rnacentral:lncRNA from 1 species